AACGAACGCUGGCGGCAGGCCUAACACAUGCAAGUCGAACGCCGUAGCAAUACGGAGUGGCAGACGGGUGAGUAACGCGUGGGAACAUACCCCUCGGUUCGGAAUAACUCAGGGAAACUUGAGCUAAUACCGGAUAAGUCCGAGGUUUUAAUCGACCUUGGAGAAAGAUUUAUCGCCGGAGGAUUGGCCCGCGUCUGAUUAGCUUGUUGGUGAGGUAAUGGCUCACCAAGGCGACGACAGUAGCUGGUCUGAGAGGAUGAUCAGCCACGGGGAUU
rnacentral:rRNA from 1 species